rnacentral:rRNA from 1 species
AAUCAACGCUGGCGGCAGGCCUAAUACAUGCAAGCUGAACGGUAAAUGUUGUAGCAAUACAAUAUGAGAGUAGCGUAAGGGUGCGUAACACGUAUGCAAUCUACCCGCAACAGGAGGAUAGCUCCCCGAAAGGGGAAUUAAUACUCCAUAAGAUCACGAGAGGGCAUCUGAUUGUGAUUAAACUCCAAGGGGUUGCGGAUGAGCAUGCGUCUGAUUAGUUAGUUGGUGAGGUAACGGCUCACCAAGACGAUGAUCAGUAGGGGAACUGAGAGGUUGAUCCCCCACACUGGCACUGAGAUACGGGCCAGACUCCUACGGGAGGCAGCAGUAGGGAAUAUUGGUCAAUGGGUGAGAGCCUGAACC